ACCAGAUGUCUUCCUCCCCAAUUACCUCAAAAGGUUCUAAUCUUGUGCUAAAGCUACAACCCAUAUUUCUCAAGUUACUGUAUUUUCUGUCUCUCCUCAUUCCAUUGGAGCAGUGCUGAAGACGGGUGAGAUAAUACUUGGCACAAAUCCAGGCAAUCAUUUCUGAGUAAUUAGUUUAGGUACCGCACACCCAACCUGUACUUUUUCAAGUAGGUAUCAAGUGGGUCAAGUUACCUGAUUACCUGCCUGUAUUUAGAUGCUGUGCUGCAUGUUCAGCCUAAGCUCAUCUCCAGCUAUGGACAGAGAACCUAACUGAAUGUAUAGGCUGCUUUUGGGAGAUCUGUUUUUUGCUAAAACUAGCUGUCUCUUUACCCCUAAUGCUAGGUGGGGUAUAAAUUUGUUCUUCCCCUUCUCAAUGUCAUCCUAUGCUGCAAAGCAUUACUUUAGCGCAACCCAGGAGUAAAAUCUACAAUUAUAGUCACUGACAUUAAUUCUGAGGCUACCAGUAUUUCCUUUCAUUUCUUUGUGUACUUGGGAAAAAAACAACAUGUAAUAGGAGAAUGAAUAGUUUUUUAAACCGAGAAACCAUGAGCACAAGUUAUUCUGUAAUAUAUAUUUCAGGUGGCCAAUCAGAUUUUCAAAGACACUGAUGGUAAUUAGGGACCUAGUUCCCAUUGACUUACAAUGGAAAUUAUAUGCCUAACUGUUAUUUGUGCUUGGGAAAAUCUCCCUGUCUUGAAGGGAGAUCCUUGAAUGACAACUGCGAUUCAAGUGCAAAGCAUAGUUAUUACUACGAUACGCCAUUGACGAGCAAAGGCCUUGACAUCGCAACAUUGCAACUGAUGUGCCCUUUCCCAGCACUUGGUAACUCUCUUUUAUUACUGCCCUGGGGUCACUCUUUCCCUUUCAUCCCUCUGGCCCAUUGUCAUUAUGAAAUAAAUUCCUCUACUGACCCCACAAGCAUCAGCACUGCAGACUGCCCCACACUUCCCUGCUAAAGUACCUUGUCCUUGACCUGUAGGGACCACCUUUAAGGGAGAGAGUUGCAGGUCAGCCACCAUGUUGAUUCUCUUCUUGGCCCCUCUGCUGUGCCUGUGAAUAAGGCUGCUACUAGAAAUUGGCCUGAGACCACUAACUGUUUCACAGAGACCAAGGAAUAGCUGCCAGAUAUGAAAGACUUUCAGUCAAUAUUAAUCUGGAUCAGAUUGGGAAAAAAACUCCAGGUGAAUGGCUUCAGUUUCCAUUAUCAAUUCCCCUGAGCCAUCCAGUCUCCCAGGGUAAAACUUAGGAGACAUGCUUAAGAGGCUGUGUUGCUCUUGUUGUUUUGUUUUUAUUUCCCAUUUUUAGAAGUUAGUCUAUAAAGGCUGUUUGGCUCCAGAUGUCCAUUGACUUUCAGGUGAAUGUGAGCAGAUAUUCCAAGCUUGUUUUCACUCUGUGUGUCCGAGGUGUUUACUCAAGAUUAAUUAGUGGUCCUGGGGGAGACAGAGGAUAGAGAAGCGAACGUGAAGAGAGAUGUCUGCCUAGAAAAAAGACUGGGAUUUUCUGCUCGGCGGGUUUGGAGUGCACAAGAUAAUAUUUUAUUAUAGGUAUUAUGCUAUGUAAAAAUUCUCAUAUAGACUUAUAAAUCACAUAUCAUAUGUAUAAUACAUUGUAUUUUUUUAGUAUGGCAAAUGAAAAAUCCCAACAAUUCAUUGUUUUGUAACUAAAAUUAAAUCGGAAUAAACAUUUGUAAAUAUAUUUUAUAUAUAAUCUGUAUAAACUUUGUAUUUCCCUAACAAAAUUAAUCAAUUUUUUUUCAUUUAUUCAUAUGAAAAGAAGGAUAAUUUUCCUUAUUCAUGGUGUAAAAAUAUAUAUAUAUAUAUCCUCUCUUGUUUUCCUGUGAGAAUAUAGACAAAAUAGCACUAACUUUCACAGAAAUAUCCAUGGUAAAAUAACAUAGGUUUUUAUUGAACUCUUCUUCUAGUAAAUUGUAUUAUUUAGUGUAUUCUUUUUAUUUUGUAUUUUUAUAUUGUAUUGUUUACUUCUACUUUACUUAUAUACACAAUUAGUUCAAAGAAUUUGUUUAAAAUUUAUUUCUGUCAUGAUAUCAUCGUUACAGAGGGCUGCUGAAAAUGAUUAUUAUUCUAGUUUUCCAACUUUUCCUUUGUAUAUAUGCAAAUAUAAAGCUUUCGUGUUUAUAUAUUCAAUAUCCUUUCUGUGAAUAAUAAAUUAAUUUUUUUAUGAUAUGGGGCCUCUUACA